rnacentral:rRNA from 1 species
CAGCCGCCGCGGUAAUACGGAGGGCGCGAGCGUUACCCGGAUUUACUGGGCGUAAAGGGCGUGCAGGCGGCCUGGGGCGUCCCAUGUGAAAGGCCACGGCUCAACCGUGGAGGAGCGUGGGAUACGCUCAGGCUAGAGGGUGGGAGAGGGUGGUGGAAUUCCCGGAGUAGCGGUGAAAUGCGCUGAUACCGGGAGGAACGCCGAUGGCGAAGGCAGCCACCUGGUCCACUUCUGACGCUGAGGCGCGAAAGCGUGGGGAGCAAACCGGAUUAGAUACCCCAGUAGUCCCUGUCUCUUAUAC